rnacentral:lncRNA from 1 species
AUAAUCGAAUGUCAGUAUAUGAAUCCACGAGGGAUAGUGUUAAAUUUAUUAAAAAUCUAAUCAUCUAGGGAUAGUGUCAAAUUUAUGAAAAUCUAAUCACAGACAUGAAUUUGCUGUUCCGAACAGCAAAUACAAAGGAAAAUUCAGAAAUUUGUACAUCUAAUGUCAUAUGUACUGUACCUUCAAUGAAGCGAUCAAAACGGAAUAAGCAGACUUAAUUCGCUCACGGCAGUGUCGAAUGAAUUCUAACAGCAGGAGUGAAGGGAAUAAAUUAUUGAGUGAAUAAAUGAUCAUGGCUUAGAUAGAA